GUGUCAGCCGCCGCGGUAAUACGAAGGUCCCGAGCGUUGUUCGGAAUCACUGGGCGUAAAGGGAGCGUAGGCGGCGCGGUAAGUCAGAUGUGAAAUCCCGGGGCUCAACCCCGGAACUGCAUCCGAUACUGCCGUGCUAGAGGAUUGGAGAGGUAGCUGGAAUUCUUGGUGUAGCAGUGAAAUGCGUGGAGAUCAAGAGGAACACUCGUGGCGAAAGCGAGCUACUGGACAAUAUCUGACGCUGAGGCUCGAAGGCCAGGGUAGCGAAAGGGAUUAGAAACCCUCGUAGUCC
rnacentral:rRNA from 1 species